CCUACGGGAGGCAGCAGUGAGGAAUAUUGGUCAAUGGACGAGAGUCUGAACUAGCCAAGUAGCGUGAAGGAUGACUGCCCUAUGGGUUGUAAACUUCUUUUAUAUGGGAAUAAAAUGUUCCACGUGUGGGAUUUUGUAUGUACCAUAUGAAUAAGGAUCGGCUAACUCCGUUCCAGCAGCCGCGGUAAUAAGGAGGAUCCGAGCGUUAUCCGGAUUUAUUGGGUUUAAAGGGAGCGUAGGUGGAUUGUUAAGUCAGUUGUGAAAGUUUGCGGCUCAACCGUAAAAUUGCAGUUGAAACUGGCAGUCUUGAGUACAGUAGAGGUGGGCGGAAUUCGUGGUGUAGCGGUGAAAUGCUUAGAUAUCACGAAGAACUCCGAUUGCGAAGGCAGUUCACUGGACUGCAACUGACACUGAGGCUCGAAAGUGUGGGUAUCAAACAGGAUUAGAUACCCGAGUAGUC
rnacentral:rRNA from 1 species